UUUGAGGGGAAUGUUGUCUGGCUCGAGGCCAUCAUCAACUCUAUCAAUAGAUCUCAAUAGCAAAUUUGAUCUGAAUCUUUAUGCAUGAUUUUAUGUUGAUGACUUCGGACCAGGCUUCAUUCCCCCCAAU